rnacentral:tRNA from 1 species
GGGGGCAUAGCUCAGUUGGGAGAGCAGUAGACUGAAGAAAUUCGUAUUCUAAAGGUCCCGCGUUCGAUCCGCGGUGCCCCCA